ACUUACUUCUCCUAUGUUGCAAGCACUAACUUCAACUUUCUAUAACUCCUUUGUCCUAAUAUAGAAUUCAUCAAGCAAUAUGUAAAAAGUAUAGGCAAAAAAGUGCAUUCUCUAAUUCUAAUUGCAGAGCCUUUAUUACUUCCUAUACAUGGUACAUUACAUCUAAAAGAGUGACAAUAGGUAUAAAACCAAUACCUUAACUUUGAGCACCUAUAUCUCUGUCAUAAAAACUCCAAAUUACUCAAAAUUU
rnacentral:lncRNA from 1 species